rfam:Arabidopsis thaliana ecotype Kro-0, whole genome shotgun sequence.
GAAGCUUCCACGAUCUGAUGAAGUUGCCGUGACAAAGUGAUUUUUCCUUUGUUUUGCUGAUUCAGAGAUGCGUUG